rnacentral:rRNA from 1 species
UCUCUGUGUGCCUAGGUAUCCACCGUGCGCCCUUCAUAACUUAACCUAUUCGGCUUCGAUAAGCGUCGAAUCUCUUCAUCACCGAUUGUCAUCAUCAUCCUCACGUACAUUAGAGUACGCUCCGGUGAUUCGCCAAUCGCUUCCUCGACCUUCUCGCUUCUCGUUCACCUUCAAGUUUUAAAGAACUUUUACUACUUCAAUGAAUGUUUUGUUACGUUAUCUAGUUUUCAAGGAACGAAAUUGAAAGCACAAAAAGCACUCUCAAAACUGACCACAAUACAAAGCGUCUUUUUAUGAAGUUCGUAGAACUUCAGUUUCCUUAGAAAGGAGGUGAUCCAGCCGCACCUUCCGAUACGGCUACCUUGUUACGACUUCACCCCAAUCAUCUGUCCCACCUUAGGCGGCUGGCUCCUUACGGUUACCCCACCGACUUCGGGUGUUACAAACUCUCGUGGUGUGACGGGCGGUGAGGGCAAGGCCCGGGAACGUAUUACCGCGGCUGCUGGAAUAAGG